UACGUAGGGGGCAAGCGUUUGUCCGGAAUCAUUGGGCGUAAAGAGCGCGUAGGCGGCCCGAUCAGUCCGCUGUGAAAGUCAAGGGCUUAACCCUUGAAUGCCGGUGGAUACUGUCGGGCUAGAGUCCGGAAGAGGCGAGUGGAAUUCCUGGUGUAGCGGUGAAAUGCGCAGAUAUCAGGAGGAACACCAGUGGCGAAGGCGGUCUCGUGG
rnacentral:rRNA from 1 species